CCCCAAUGCUAUUUUAUUUUAUUACUAAAAUUUAAAACCUGUUUUAAAAUCUUUUUUCUUUGCUUAAAAAAAAAACUUUUAACUUUGUUUUUUAAAGAAAAACCCUAGAACUUAAAAACUUUCCCCUUCUCCCCUUGUUGCCAGCCGAAAGGCUAAUAACCAAUCCUUCAACCGUCGCCGAGGCCGAUUGCGACGAUCAGAGCAGGGCCUUCCAGUGGUGCGAGCGCGUCGUAACUCCGGGGAGUUUUCCUGUUUCCCUUAUAUUUGGUAUUUUACGGAUUUGAAUGAAAAUAGGAAAAAGGUAAAAGAACAGAAAAAAAAGGAAAAUGAUGAAUAACCACCUUUGAAGUGUUUUUUGGCUGCUCUUUACUCUCUUUUUGUGUAUUUUGUAUUCCAAAAAAUCGUAAAAAAACAAAUGAAUAAUCGUGGCCUUUUAUAGCCAUUUUUACAACGGUUUCUUUGCCUCUUUACUCACGUCGUAGGUAUGGUUAACGUGGUUUGUGAGUGCGUUGAUGGCCGUGGGUGGAGAACAUGGGCACAUGAUGGCUGAAGGGAAACAGUUUCUCUUUGCUGAAAAAGUUUUGUGGGCUAGGGUUUUUGUUUUAUUUAGGUUUAUUAUUAUUUUUACUUUUAUAUGUGUAUGGGUUGUAAUUGAGUAUUUGGGCUAGAAUUAGGUAGCCCGGGCAAAAUUUAGGUCUCACAUUUAUGUAGAAAAGAAUAUGUAGAAAAGAAGCCAUGGUUUUGAUAAUUGAAAUUAAGGAACUUUUGAUGUUUGAUUGUAAUAAUUUGAAGUCAUUAUGAAUUAAGUUACUCUGAAGCUUCCACAUCAUGUGGAAAAAUGCAACACGUUUUAUACUUUUCCCGAAACACUAUGAAUAUUAUUUUGAAGGGAAUAUACUAGGAGUUUUCCAC
rnacentral:lncRNA from 1 species